UCCUCCCCACCCCCAUCCCCUCCUCCUCCCCCUCCUCCCGGCGCACGUGGGGCGGAGUUCUAGAACGUCGUGUAACCAAUGCCGGUGACGUCACGCACCCCGGUGCGGCCCCCGCCUGCCGCGCGCGCACACUCGGCCCCCCGCAGCCGGACCCACGGGGGCGGUGCGCGAACCCCGCGGCCCGAGGGGCCCCGCCUCCGGGCGGGCCGGGCCGGGGGGCGGGGGGAGCGCACCCCGACUUCCCUCGAUCACAUGGGCUGCGUGGGGAGGGUGGAUCGGGGGAGGGGGAAGCGCGGGGAGCUGGCCACCGCUCCGCACUCGGGCUGGGGAGAAGACGCCCCCCACCCCUUCUAGGUCGGCCUCUCCAUUCAAGUUCCCCAGCCCCAGCCGCCGGGAUCCGGGGAUGGCACCAGCCGCCCUCCCGGCUCUGCGCCCUUUUUCCAGCCACCGCGCAGAAAUUUAGGUCAAGGACGUCGGGAUCAAACCCAGACCCUGGCGCUCCUCGGGCGGCCCCCGAGACCCCUCUAGGUCGGGGGCCUUCAGGAUUGCGGAGACCCUCCCGCACCAACGCCAGCCACAAGUUUUAUUUUCCUCUCGCGCUGGAAGUUCUCUCUGGCUCUCGCUCCAAACCGGCACGUCUUGCGCCGCUCCCCGCCCUUCCCUGGCAGAGGUCGCAGAGCUGAUUAAGAAGAAAGCUGACUCCUGCCUCCCAGUCUUGGGUCCAUUUCAUCCAUUUCCAAACAUAAAGCCUCCAGCUGCAUCGGGAAGAUCUUGGCCAGUUUAAAAAGGCAGAGUUUGGAUUUGUGUGCAGCGAUUUCAGGAAUGUGGGGUUUUCUGGCUUGUGUGUGUGGAUGGCACCGCAGAGGGGAAAUAAAACAGUCUUGCUGCCUUGCAUGUAGGGUCUUACUAGUAGUUAGGUGACUUUGAGCUGACAAGCCCCCCCCCCAUCUCAAGGGCAUCAUCCAUACAUGAAGAAUCACGAUGCUUUUAAAAUAGCUCCACAAAUUCUUUGGUGCUCUUGCAAGAGGUGGAGCCUAAUUUUAGCCCCGGCGCCCUGAGCAUGGACUGCACUGAGUCACUGGCUUCGAAUGAACAGAACGUGGAAGAGAUGAUGGCAGGCGAAUUCUGAGGCUAGGGCAGAAAAAGCACGUGGCCUCUGCCUUGCUCUCUCUCCAGGGUCACUCUAGAGGAAGCCAGUUUCCAUACCAUCAGGAUGCUCCAGUAGCCUGAUAGGUCCACCCACGUGGAGGAGAACUCUAGUUUCCUGUCGACAACCCAAACCACGAUUGUGAGACGUCUUAAAGGCACAUCCACCAGCCCCAGCCGAGCCUUCGGAUGACAGCUACCCCAGCCCACGUCUCCAGAGCAACUCCACGGGAGACCUUGGGUCGGAACCUCCCAGCCAAGCCACUCCCAAUUCCCCGACCCUCAGAACCUGUGUGAGACGAUACAUACUCGCUUGAAGCUACUGAGCUUCAGGGGUAAUUGGUGGCACAGCCGAGAUGACUAAUAUGGAGAUACUUCAAAAUGUGUGAAAACAGAGCUGCUUUACUUUAUAGGCGAGCAGCAGGACUUCCUAUGCUCAUGUUUUGAGAGGGCUUUCGUUAGACGCUGGCCAAAUGAACUGCAUAUUAGAUAUAAAGUAGCGAUUGCAUAUUAUUAAUGGUAUCAGAUAGCAACACAUUUCAUGUUCAAUUACCUACAGUGCUCUUGCUGGAGCAUCGCUUUGCUCAUCUUCUUAUCCCCACUGCACACUUACAAAAGGUCACUGUCGAGAUAUAAAAGUAUACGUGUGAUUUAAAUGUCUUGACUCAGUUACUAACAACCAUGAGCGUGUUUCCACAUUGGAAGAGCAAGAUCCAUUUAAACUUGCUCUUUUUUCGGAGCGCUCUCUGUUUACUUUUCGGUAUUGGGUUUCACCAGCAGGCCAAGCACCUCUCUGCUUAAAGAGUCUGUUCACUUUGUCUCCUGGAGCCUCACAAGCCUGACUCUUCAGGACAGACAUGGCCAACUUUGCACUGAAAAAGCAAACCAGUGUUUUUUACCAGAAAAUAUGAAGUGAAAUGAAUUUUUUAUUCAUGAAAAUUCCACCGAGUAUAAAUUCCCUGUCUAAAAGGAAUGGGGCCUUUGUAUUUCCCUUAAGUAAAUAAAUAGCUUCUUUCCUCAAGCAUUGUGACUUCUGAGCAUGCGCUUACAUUCCGGGUUAGUUUGUUUCCUUCCAGGGAAUUAAAAAUAAGCAUGUAUGGAGUUCCUGCUGUGGCUCAGUGGUGAUGAAGCCGACUAGCGUCCACGAGGACGAGGGUUCAAUCCUUGCCCUCACUCAUCUGGGUUAAGGAGCUGCCGGUGCUGUGGCUGUGGUGUAGGCUGGAAGCUGUAGCUCUGAUUCGACCCUUAGCCUAGGAACUUCUGUGUGUCGUGGGCCCUAAAAAAAAAAAAAAA
rnacentral:lncRNA from 9 species